AAGGAAGUGAUGUAACACACAGACAGGAAGUUUCGGGUCAGAGGUGAGUUGGGAGGAAGUAGAGGGAAGACAUUUCUGGAACUGGAAGCAGAGACGGACAUCCCCCAUUACAGCGCCUCCACCUCGCUGCCCGACAACAGAGGUAACCAGUGCCAAGAAGAUUCUAGAAGUCACCAAGAAGAUCAUUGAUCUGCUGACAGGAGAGGUUCCUAUAAGGUGUCAGGAUGUCACUGUCUA